rnacentral:rRNA from 1 species
CAGACGGGUGAUUAACGCGUGAGAAUCUGCCCUUAGGACGGGGACAACAUCUGGAAACGGCUGCUAAUACCCGAUGUGCCGAUAGGUGAAACAUUUUAUGGCCUGAGGAUGAUCUCGCGUCUGAUUAGCUAGUUGGUGGGGUAAGGGCCUACCAAGGCGACCAUCAGUAGCUGGUCUGAGAGGAUGAUCAGCCCCACUGGGACUGACACACGGCCCAGACUCCUACGGGAGGCAGCAGUGGGGAAUUUUCCGCAAUGGGCGCAAGCCUGACGGAGCAAGACCGCGUGCGGGAGGACGGCCUAUUGGUUGUAAACCGCUUUUGAUAGGGAAUAAGUUCUGACGGUACCUAUCGAAUCAGCAUCGGCUAACUCCGUGCCAGCAGCCGCGGUAAUACGGAGGAUGCAAGCGUUAUCCGGAAUUAUUGGGCGUAAAGCGUCCGUAGGUGGUUGUUCAAUCUGCUGUUAAAGCGUGCGGCUUAACCGCAUACCAGCAGUGGAAACUGGGCGACUAGAGUGCGGUAGGGGUCAGGGGAAUUCCCAGUGUAUCGGUGACAUGCGUAGAUAUUGGGAAGAACACCGGUGGCGAAGGCGCCUGACUGGACCUGCGCUGACACUGAGGGACGAAAGCUAGGGGAGCGAAAGGGAUUAGAUACCCCUGUAGUC